rnacentral:rRNA from 1 species
UACGGGGGGUGCGAGCGUUGUUCGGAAUUAUUGGGCGUAAAGAGCGUGUAGGCGGCUGAAUAAGUCAGAUGUGAAAUCCCUGGGCUUAACCCAGGACGUGCAUUUGAAACUAUUCGGCUUGAGUAAGGGAGAGGAAAGUGGAAUUCCUGGUGUAGAGGUGAAAUUCGUAGAUAUCAGGAGGAACACCGGUGGCGAAGGCGACUUUCUGGCCCUAUACUGACGCUGAGACGCGAGAGCGUGGGUAGCAAAC